AAUAUAUUGAGUUUGCCUAAUUGUUGGUAGUGUUGAGGGACGGGAAAGAAAAUUCAAUGAAAAUAGAGGCAUAACCUUAUUUUCUGUUGUGUCAUAGGCCUCCAAACUUUAUGAGAAAUUGGAGAGUAUAAUUGAUCAUUAACUUUGAGCUCUUAUACACUAAUUUAAACUAUUAAAUUUGUCUAAUUUGUGUCACUGUCAAUUUUGAUAUCCUAAAUAGGCACAGGGCUCAGUGUGUUUGAAGUUCAGAAAGCCUAUUUCAUUUGUUUGAGGAAGUUGGUAUCAAACACAUAUCAGAGUUUCCUUGGGCAGUCUAUCUGAAAAGAUUAGUUGGUUCAACUCUAAAAAGAAUGGCUUUGUAGAUAGUUUUCUAGCAGGAAGUAGGUAGUAUAGGUGGAAAUAAAUUAUACACACACACACACAUACGCACACAAACAUAUGCACCUCUCUGUAGAUAUUUUUUUUUUGUUAAAGCAUAAAUGUUUAGUGUUGCUUUUCAAUUAUAGGGAAUUGAUUUUCUCUAAGUCCCUAUCUCUUCUUCCCCAAACUUUCUAAUACAUUCAGUUCACUUAACUAGGAUUACAUGAAACUUUUGAUGCCUUCAAGUCCCCUUUGCUUUAGUCCCCCUAACAUUUAGAGGUUUCCUACCUAUCCUCCUCAAACAGACAGCUUGCCUUGGAUAUUGGCCUCAUGAGCAGGAGCUGGUUUUGGGGAGGAUGGCCUAUGUGCUAUGGUGCUGAGCUCUUGACUGACAGAGAGACCCUCCCCUUGGCUUCUCCUUCCCUGCUUCAAGGGCUGGCAGACCGCGCCAUUCUCAAAGAUUUGGAAAGGA
rnacentral:lncRNA from 1 species